ensembl:snoRNA small nucleolar RNA SNORA21
AAAAGCCACUCAGUGGGGCCUCUUGCUAGUGACCUACUGAGUCGUCAAGAAGGGGCAGAGUGAAAACACCUCUUUUGGGUCAAGUGGCAACAAGCGUUGUUUGCUUCAAUCGGUAUUGUGGCAAGA